rnacentral:rRNA from 1 species
AGUAAUGUGUAGGAAUCUGCCUUGAGGAGGGGGAUAACUUGGGGAAACUCAAGCUAAUACCACAUAAGCCCCACGGGGAAAGCUUGGGACUUGAAAGAGCCAGGCGCCUUAAGAUGAGCCUACAUCGGAUUAGCUAGUUGGUGGGGUAAAGGCCUACCAAGGCGAUGAUCCGUAGCUGGUCUGAGAGGAUGAUCAGCCACACUGGGACUGAGACACGGCCCAG